CUUUCGGGUCGUCUCUCCCAGAGCGCGCCUUGCGCCCUGUUCCGUGUCCGGCCUUGGUCUCUGACUCAAAGUGUUGUUCCCUCAGCUUGAAGGAACUCUCCGGGAGGCCCGGAAGAUGCCGGGCGGGCCACAGGCUGCCGAGUCCCCGGGCCGUGUGGAUUAGAGCCAGGCUUGGGCUGUAUGGGGAAAGGCCACCAAGCCAAGUGUGAUCCAGGCCUGGAAGAGUGGCAGGGUUGGCUCCUUUGGAUGACAUUACUGAGCAUGCUCAGUGAUUCCCUAGAUAAUCCUUUCUUUGGUAGAUGCCUAGGAUGUCAACAAUCUGGUAAUAGAAGAGAUGCUGUAAAUUAACUUGACUCAAAGAGCUCCAACAGAGAAAUAUCCAUCAAGAUGGGAAAGAUUACACACAGGAAAGAGGCUAGCAUGGCAACAUGAGACAUCAUACAGAGAAGAUUCUGGGAAAGCAGGAUGUUAUUCCAAGACUUGGCUCUGUUUUUAUAUUUUUACACGUGUCAUAUACUGUAGUUUCAGCAGUAUUUUAUCUGUGCUGGAAUUAUAAAUGAUGGGAACUGAGCACUAUCUACCAAGUUUUAGAAUUCAGCAAUUCUGCCAGUAUGAUGGAUACUCAAGCACCUACUUGUCCCGUGGUAAACAGCAUGGUAGGCCCAAGAAAACCUCCCAAGACUCACAGAAACUCAAGUCAAUGCCAAUAUCACAGAGCUCUAGCUGACUGAGAGUCUGGCCCAUGGGAAAGGUUUUG
rnacentral:lncRNA from 1 species